UACGAAGGGGGCUAGCGUUGCUCGGAAUUACUGGGCGUAAAGAGCGCGUAGGCGGUCUGUUAAGUGAGAAGUGAAAUCUCCAGGGCUCAACCCGGAAACUGCUUUUCAUACUGGCAGACUUGAGGGAUGCAGAGGUGAAUGGAAUUCCUGGUGUAGCGGUGAAAUGCGUUGAUAUCAGGAGGAACACCCAUGGCGAAGGCAGUUCACUGGGCAUCAACUGACGCUGAGGCGCGAAAGCGUGGGUAGCAAACAGG
rnacentral:rRNA from 1 species